rnacentral:rRNA from 1 species
GACGAACGCUGGCGGCGUGCUUAACACAUGCAAGUCGAACGGAAAGGCCCUGCUUUUGUGGGGUGCUCGAGUGGCGAACGGGGGAGUAACACGUGAGUAACCUGCCCUUGACUUUGGGAUAACUUCUGGAAACUGGGGCUAAUACCGGAUAGGAGCUCCUGCUGCAUGGUGGGGGUUGGAAAGUUUCGGCGGUUGGGGCUGGACUCGCGGCUUAUCAGCUUGUUUGUGGGGUAGUGGCUUACCAAGGCUUUGACGGAUAGCCUGCCUGAGAGGGUGACCGGCCACAUUGGGACUGAGGUACGGCCCAGACUCCUACGGGAGGCAGCAGUGGGGAAUAUUGCACAAUGGGCGGAAGCCUGAUGCAGCAACGCCGCGUGCGGGAUGACGGCCUUCGGGUUGUAAACCGCUUUCGCCUGUGACGAAGCGUGAGUGACGGUAAUGGGUAAAGAAGCACCGGCUAACUACGUG